CACUUUUUUCGUAGGCUCACUACAUUUGUUAUUCUGCAAAAUACAAGCUCCAAAGUCACAGUUUGUAGGCGAGAUUAAAUAAUUCAAGAAAGCCGGUUUAUCAUCCAAACCGAUAAUCCCUUUGACUCUCUGAGUUAACAACAUGAGAUGUAAAAUUGUUGAACAAAAAAAAAAAAAAAAAAACAUGAUGUAAAAAACUUAAGUAUGCUAUUCUCU
rnacentral:lncRNA from 1 species